rnacentral:rRNA from 1 species
AACUGCCGGGAGUAGGAGGAAGGCCUCCGGGUGGUAAACUGCUUUUGUACGGAGCGAAAAGGCUCUCUCUAAUACAGGGGGCUCAUGACGGUACCGUAAGAAUAAGCACCGGCUAACUACGUGCCAGCAGCCGCGGUAAUACGUAGGGUGCGAGCGUUAAUCGGAAUUACUGGGCGUAAAGCGUGCGCAGGCGGUCUUGUAAGACAGGUGUGAAAUCCCCGGGCUUAACCUGGGAACUGCACUUGUGACUGCAAGGCUGGAGUACGGCAGAGGGGGAUGGAAUUCCGCGUGUAGCAGUGAAAUGCGUAGAUAUGCGGAGGAACACCGAUGGCGAAGGCAAUCCCCUGGGCCUGUACUGACGCUCAUGCACGAAAGCGUGGGGAGCAAACAGGAUUAGAUACCCUGGUAGUCCACGCCCUAAACGAUGUCAACUGGUUGUUGGGUCUUCGCUGACUCAGUAACGAAGCUAACGCGUGAAGUUGACCGCCUGGGGAGUACGGCCGCAAGGUUGAAACUCAAA